CGGAAGGACGCCUGCGGCCUACGAUCAAGGACUAUAGACUUCAUAAAGAUUGAGGAGCGAAAGAAUGGAUGUGGCUUAGCUGAUGGCAUGCUGGGAAGUGUUGGAACUGACCAUUGUUUCAGCCCUUUGAUUCAGGAUAGGAGCUUAUCUUCAAAAGUCAAGUCUCAGCUUGGCACUGGGAACAAAUAAAGCAGUUUUAGCACUGUACGCCUAGCUUUGGUGCCUGCUAUGGACGACAGAGGAUGAGAUGGCUGGAUGGCAUCACUGACUCGCUGGACGUGAGUCUCAGUGAACUCCGGGAGUUGGUGAUGGACAGGGAGGCCUGGCGUGCUGCGAUUCAUGGGGUCGUAAAGAGUUGGACAUGACUGAGCCACUGAUCUGAUCUGAUCUGAUCUGAUGUGUUGAAUUGUGUUUCCCCCCGAUUCCAGGAUAUGGACUGAAUGUUUAUGUACCCCCUAAAUUUGUAUACUGAAGUCCUAAUCUCCAGGUGACUAUAUUUGGAGAUGGGGCCUGUAUGGAAGUAUUUAAGGCUAAAUGAGUUCAUUAGCAUGGAGCCCUGAUCUGAUAGAAUCCAUGUCCUUAUGAGAAAAACACUAAGGAGCACUCCCUCUCUCCCCUCCUACCAACCAUUUGAGGACACCACAAAAAGGCAGCCAGGAGAAGAGUUCUCACCAGAAACAAAGUUGGGAACCUUGAUCUUGAACUUUCCAUCCUCUAGAACUAUGAGAAGUAAAUUCCUAUUGUCUUCGCCAGCAAACCUGUGGUAUUUUGUUAUAGCAUCCCCAGCAGACUAAUAUAUCCCCAAAUCCAUCUGUUGAAGUCCUAACCCCCAAGUACUUCAAAAUGUGACUGUUUGGAUACAGGGCCUUUAAAGAGGUAAUUGAGGAGAAUGAGGUCAUAUGGGUAGGCUCUAAUCAAAUAUGACUCUGUCCUUAUAAGAAGAGGAAAUCAGGACACAGACACUCUGAGAAAGAGGGCUGUGUGAAAGCAAGAGAGGAGACGGCCAUCGACAAACCAAGAAGGAACACCUUCCAAGAAACCAACCCUGCUGACACCUUCAUCUUGGCUAUUCACCCUCAAGAUUGUGAAGAAAUAAAUUUCUCUUGU